rnacentral:misc_RNA from 1 species
GAUGAAGAACGCAGCGAAAUGCGAUAAGUAAUGUGAAUUGCAGAAUUCAGUGAAUCAUCGAAUCUUUGAACGCACAUUGCGCCCCCUGGUAUUCCGGGGGGCAUGCCUGUCCGAGCGUCAUUACAACCCUCAAGCUCAGCUUGGUGUUGGGCCCCGCCGCCCCGGCGGGCCCUAAAGUCAGUGGCGGUGCCGUCCGGCUCCGAGCGUAGUAAUUCUUCUCGCUCUGGAGGUCCGGUCGUGUGCUCGCCAGCAACCCCCAAUUUUUUUCAGGUUGACCUCGGAUCAGGUAGGGAUACCCGCUGAACUUAAGCAUAUCAAUAAGCGGGAGGA